rnacentral:lncRNA from 1 species
AAAAAAGAGGACUAUAAGGAGGGGACGACUGAUCCCAAUCCUCAUAGCCUCAUGCUAUUCCAUCUGUGUUUGAGAACAUUCCUUCUCUAUUAAUAAAAUCCCGUCCAGCUCCGUGAAAUACAACCUCAACUACAGAUUCGAGAUAUAAAAGAAGUUUGGAGCGUCAAAAAGAAUUCGAAAUGAGUUAUUUUGUAGAAAACAAAGUUUCGUCAUUAAGUCAGCUAAAAAUAAUUUUGAUUUGUCUUCUUUGCCAUCUAACAUCUAUCUUAUAGAAGGCAUAGACAACUUACUUUUUCGCGUUAUUCAUGGAUUACCCUCUCAAAUUCAAUAUUCAUUCCAAAUUUUUGACUGUCUUACCUUUAAAUUACACUAUCGUGAUUCCAUAGUCGCUCUUAAUAAAUUUCAGCAUAUCUGUUCUUCUAAUAAAAUUCAAACUCUUCGUCAAA